rnacentral:lncRNA from 1 species
AGCAUUUUAAAUUUCACAUCUCAUUAAUGCUGUAAAUUUAAUGCAAAUGAAGUGUUUACCCAAACUGUGAAAAAGUACAGCCAGGAUUAAUGGUGGCUUAUAAACAAAUUAGCCACAGUCAGAAGAAUGCACCACACCAACACAGAAAUCCCAUGAUUCUAGUUAUAGGGUCACAGAAAUACUUGUAAACACUUCAGAACCGAAGCCUAUUUUAUGAAGCAUAUGUUCGCUACUCUUAGCUUUGGGCAGCAGAGCAGUCUGAAAUGAACAGUAUGCAAAACAUUACAUAAGAAAACGUAGGCUGUAGUACCUAGGACUGAUCUGGAAUAGACACCUUGGCUCUUCGUUUGUUAGUCGUCUGUGCUUAUAUGAGGUCUAUAUGUGUAUCAAGCAUGUGCAGUUCCAUGUGCCCACAUACUCCGCUCUAGGAUGGCCUGUCUGGAGUUUGCUUACUGUUCUCCGGGCAUUCCCUUUCACAGGCCCAGGUGAUCAGCUGGGUAUGGUAAAGGUCACCACAUGCGGAGUUCAGAGAAAACCGUAUAGCUGAUAGCUCAUUCAAGAUACUUGACAUUUUGCAAGGUUAAAAUAACAAAACAGAACACACGAGAACUGACUGAAGACAUCUGUAUAUAGUUAUGGAAAUACCAAAUAAUAAUUAGUGGCUUUGCCAGCCAAUGGCUUUUCAACAGAAUUCUCUGGAAUGUUGCUUUUUUUUUGACCUCUAAAAGUGCUAUAAUAUGAAUGAGUUAUAAUUACGAUAGGUCUAUUUAACAAAUGUAUGUGAUCAUUGUGCUUUUUAAACAUAUGCAGGAUUUAUAGGUUUUGGAAACAUGUUCUUUUUUUUAAAAAUCAUUAUAAAUUUUUUUCAGAAAUAUUUUUGUCAUGGGACUUUGUAUUCUUUAUGACACAUCUAUAAUUUCCAGUUAAUUUUUAAUUGAAAAAACAUGCCUUCGUUAUUUAACCUUUAGCCCCAAACACAUUUAGGAUAUUAUAACCAAUCCCAUGCAUUCAGAAGCAAUUGUCCUCUUUCCUUGUUCUAGACCAGGGCAGCUUUAGUUUGUAUCAAUUAAAAUUAAUGUCAGGGUCCCCUGCAAUGACAACUACAAAAGUAUAUUUGUGCCAAAAUCCUCUCAGCAUUAUCUAAAGAUGCAUCAAGAAAGCUUAGGACAAUGAGAACAUAGACCUUAAUAUAGGCAGAAAUCUGGGACUCUUUUAAUCUGAGGAAUGCAUAGGACAGACAUGCCUAUAAAGACUGGCACUUGUUAUUUAAGUGAUCAGUGCUGAAUAAACACCACUUACAAUGUGCAUAUAUUAUCUGAGUUCUAAUGUGUUUGCUAUUUAUGAAUAUAUGGUGUAUAUUAAUCCUUGGAAGUGAAAAGCUAUAUAUCCCACAGUUACAAUUUGUAAAUACUGAACAGAUAGAUAACUUAUCUAUCUCGUAUGUAAUGGAAUUUUGAUUUAAGAAACCAAAUACAUAGUGAGCUAUGAUUUUUGAGGCAUGAAGAAAACAACAUAAAUGUAUUUCACAUGAUGUAAGCACACCACCCAAUUUAAGCACCAGUUAAAAUCUACUAUCGUUAUCCUUUCAAAUUAAGAACUGCAGCAAUGAAGCUGUAUACUCACUGUACAGGAAUGGAGAGAGCGAAAUAGUUUAAAUGACUUCAGUAAAGGUUAUUCUUCCUCCAGCAGAAAUGAGAUUGAUUUACUGUGUCCUCUCAUUACUUUACGAAGAUUUAGAAGAGAGCACUCUUCUAAGGGCAGCUCCUAAAUGCAUUUGGUUUAAAGCUCUCAGUGAUGAAUGCAAAGGAAAAUGAAGGGGUAUAUGAAAUAAAAGUGAUCAAUCAUUUUAUAUUAGCUAGGAGAAAUUCAAAAUUAGAAAGGCAGUGGCUUUAGGCCGAGGGAGCUCUUUUAAACAUUCCCCAUAACCUUUUAUAUACAUGGCCCUUUAAAAAUAAAUAUUGUCACCAGGUACAUUCUUCAGUUCCCGCGGAUUGCUUAAUAAAGAUGUAUCCUUUCAGCUUAUGAAAAGUAUUGAUGUGCAUUGUUCCAUGCUAUUUUCCCUUAGAAAAGAACUUUAAUAUAGCUUUCAUAAAUUAAAGUUAAUAAAUGUAAGAUUAUUGAAUAGUUUUGACUGUCUUCAGACAACCUUCCCACAAAAUGACGUUACAGAAGGGCUUUCACCGUAGCUGUUUCUCUUACACGCUCACACUGACAUUUCAAUGGAAACAUAAAAUGCUAAAGUACAUCCAUGUUGGCAAAUGAAACCCGUGCUUUUAUGCUUAGGUGCUUGUUACACAGUUAUUAGUCAUUGCAUAUCUGCAACCUCCUUUUAAUAAUGAUUACUUCUGGUUAAUGCCAGUUCCUAACUGCCUUGAAAUAUUAGUUUUUGUGAUUUUUUUCCCCUUCUGAUGUUGGAAUUUCACCUAUCAUCUAAAUACAAUAUCUCACUUGAAUAUAAAAAAAUAAAGUCACUUAAUUACGUAAAGUGUUUCAGGAAGGUUUGUGUAAAGAAGUUGCUAGCUUAGCACUAACAAUAACCCUCCCUGUGGAGAGUAAGCCUCAGCUCAUAUAACUGAUCAGGACGUGCCUUGAUGGGAUGUCACUGCCUUGGGCAUUGAGGCCUGGCGCUGGCCUGUCUUUGGGAUCAUUAACUGGCUUACUGUAUUUGCCAGUGAUGUAGGAGAAAUCUCCAAACCAGAACUGUUUCACCUAGAGCUUCUUUCUGCUAUAACUUUUGUGUUGGAAGAUGGUGUGGUGGCUUGAAGAACUCUGAGGUCCUGCUUUAGCAAACUGGGCUCUGCUCUCUGCUGCCAAACACUUUGUCUUGGUUCGGAACACUUUCAGAAUGUUGAACACACCUUCUCUGACUUCCCUGUGUAGAAGUCCUGCUUCCUGCCUCGCAAGCACUCUGUGCACACUCCUUCCUGUCAACAGUGACUGAACUCUGUAUCCCAAAUUUUAUCUUCGUGAGGAAAUGGGAACCCUCUAGCAGAAUGUUAGAGUUGGCUUAGAAGGUAUAGACAUUAUUUUAUAAUUCAGGUUAACAAUGUUAAUAUAAAUGGAUAUUAUGAGAAAAUUCAGUUAAAUUAAUACCAGGUCCUUAUAUGCUAAGCUUCAUAAUUUGCUUACUAUAAUAGGAACUUUAUUAAUUUAAAAUAAUCUAGCUUAUUCAUCAUCAAUUACAGUUCAGUAGAAGGCUGCUUUCACAGCAGAAACCUUAGUAAUACACACCAAUGACACCAUGACAGUUUGACAAGAUUUGUUGUAGAUUGAAAUUAAAAGCUUGUAGCUAAAACACUUCCUGUGAGCCAUAAGAGACCCCACCACACAGUUAUACGAGGCCACACCAGUCUAACCAGCCAUUGAAUACCUCACUGGAGAUCAUAGGCAGACGAAAUAGGGAGCUGCCUUUGCCUUCCUUAAAUAAGACAAUUAAGUCAAGGAAGCUCCUAACUGUAAAAACAUAGGGCUUGGUCUCAGUCUCAAUAGGAUGUCCUGGCUGCCUGUGCUAUCUGUGACUAGAGGUACUGGCCGAGUGCCUAGUCACUGUGGGUUUUAUUGGUGCUUGAGCUUCAACAUUACAUCUCCUGUGUGACCAUGUAACGCUGUUAUUGCAAGUUCAGUUAUCGACUAGUUACGCUGAAGCUGAAAUGGUUUCAACACUUUUCUGGGCAGAAUUUGGAAGUACUUUUCAUUACACUAAAGAUUUCUGUUACACAAAAUAGCUUUUAAAGAAAUUGCCUCUGUAGGAUUUCUUUCUUUCUUUCUUUCUUUUUUUUUUUUAACUAAAACAUGAAGUGAAAUCCUCUUAUAAUAUUUGUCCUGGCAAAUGACAAAGCCAAAGCUUGGAACAUUAAAAAACCAGCAUUGAAAAGUCAGUCAUUAGAAGCAAGCAAUUGGAAAAGGACACAAGUGGACUAUCAACAGGCUUCUCUGUAGAGCCCGGAAGCAGGCUAUCAACACUCAGGCCAUUCUUAUUGUGGCUGUUAUCAUAAUUGACAGCAUGACGCAAAAGCCUAUCACAUGACUUCUGGGUAGGUAUGUAAAUGGUAAGAGGUCACUUUUCACAUAUGCCUGAUGAAAAGGGAACAGAGUUAAAGGAAGUUUUAGUCAGUCUAAUGGCUAUGCAAAUGUUUAGCUUUAGGGCUAGUUU